ensembl:lncRNA novel transcript
GAUCUGCUCCUUCUCCUGGGUGCGCAUGGCCUGGAUGUUGAGAUCCACCUCCUAAGGGGGCUCAGCAGACUCUGGUUGACUGUGACAGCAGUGAUGCCUCCCAUGCCGCUGGUCCCACCAUAGCCUCUGCCCAGGCCAGCCCAGAAGCUGCUGCUGCCCAGUAGGGAGAAGCUCUAAGAGCUGAUGCAGGCACUGGGCCCACUCGUAUAGGAGCGGCAUAGCAGCAUUUUUACAAUAAUCCAGUAACCCUGUUGUUCAUCAAUAGCAUAAUUGAGAAAUAUAUUGUGAUAUAUUUAUACGAUGGAAACUAUUCAGCAAUGGGAAUGACUGAACUACAGCACUAUGAAUCUUAUAGAUUGAGUAUACGAAGCAAGAUACAAAUUACUCCAUUUAUAUAAAUGUAAAAAAAAAAACAAAACAAAACCUAGGCAGCAUAGCCAAACCCUGUCUGCACAAAAAUGUAAAAUAAAAUUAGCCAGGUAUGGUGGAGGAUGAGUCCUAGCUACUUAGGAGGCUGAGGUGUGUGGAUCACUUGAGCCAGGAGUUCAAGGCUGCAGUGAGUCAUGACAGGACAGAGGGAGACCUGUCUACUGUCUGUCCCUAUAGAAAAAGAAAAAAACAGGAUGGCCAGAGGAAAUGCAUCAAUGCAGAGGGACAGAAACAGCAGUGUGGCCUGGGAAAGUGGGACAGGCCAGGCGCGGUGGCUCAUGCCUGUAAUCCCAACACUUUGGGAUGCCGAGGUGGGCGGAUCAUGAGGUCAGGAGAUCGAGACCAUCCUGGCUAACACAGUGAAACCCCGUCUCUACUACAAAUACACACACACAAAAAAA